rnacentral:rRNA from 1 species
CCUGCCCACUGAUUAAUUGAAUGGCCGCAGUAUUUUGACUGUGCAAAGGUAGCAUAAUCAUUAGUUUUUUAAUUAGAAGCUUGUAUGAAGGGUUGGACGAGGUAAAAUCUGUCUCUAUUUAAUUUAUUUUAGAAUUUAAUUUUUAAGUUAAAAAGCUUAAAUUUUAGUAAAAGACGAGAAGACCCUAUAGAUCUUUAUAUUUUUUUAAUUAAUUUUAUUUAGGGUUAUUUUAUUUUUUAUUUAGGAAAAUAUUUUAUUGGGGUAAUAGAGAGAUUAAAUUAAUUCUUUUUUAUUAUAAUAUAGAUAAAUAAUUAUAUGAUCCAAUUAUUUUGAUUAUAAGAUUAAGUUACCUUAGGGAUAACAGCGUAAUUUUUUUAGAGAGUUCAUAUCGAUAAAAAAGUUUGCGACCUCGAUGUUGGAUUAAAAAUUAUUU